rnacentral:rRNA from 1 species
CACGUAGGGCGCAAGCGUUGUCCGGAAUUAUUGGGCGUAAAGAGCUCGUAGGCGGACUGUCACGUCUGCUGUGAAAAGCUAGGGCUUAACCCUGGCCUUGCAGUGGAUACGGGCAGACUAGAGGUAGGUAGGGGAGAAUGGAAUUCCCGGUGUAGCGGUGAAAUGCGCAGAUAUCAGGAGGAACACCGGUGGCGAAGGCGGGUCUCUGGGCCGAUACUGACGCUGAGGAGCGAAAAGCGUGGGGAGCGAAACAGG